CCUAGGGGAGGCAGCAGUGAGGAAUAUUGGUCAAUGGGCGGAAGCCUGAACCAGCCAAGUAGCGUGCAGGAUGACGGCCCUAUGGGUUGUAAACUGCUUUUAUACAGGAAUAAAGUUAGCCACGUGUGGUUAUUUGUAGGUACUGUAUGAAUAAGGACCGGCUAAUUCCGUGCCAGCAGCCGCGGUAA
rnacentral:rRNA from 1 species